UGGGGAAUUUUGGACAAUGGGCGCAAGCCUGAUCCAGCCAUGCCGCGUGCAGGAUGAAGGCCUUCGGGUUGUAAACUGCUUUUGUACGGAACGAAAAGACUCUGGUUAAUACCUGGGGUCCAUGACGGUACCGUAAGAAUAAGCACCGGCUAACUACGUGCCAGCAGCCGCGGUAAUACGUAGGGUGCGAGCGUUAAUCGGAAUUACUGGGCGUAAAGCGUGCGCAGGCGGUUAUGUAAGACAGAUGUGAAAUCCCCGGGCUCAACCUGGGAACUGCAUUUGUGACUGCAUAGCUAGAGUACGGCAGAGGGGGAUGGAAUUCCGCGUGUAGCAGUGAAAUGCGUAGAUAUGCGGAGGAACACCGAUGGCGAAGGCAAUCCCCUGGGCCUGUACUGACGCUCAUGCACGAAAGCGUGGGGAGCAAACAGGAUUAGAUACCCUGGUAGUCCACGCCCUAAACGAUGUCAACUGGUUGUUGGGUCUUCACUGACUCAGUAACGAAGCUAACGCGUGAAGUUGACCGCCUGGGGAGUACGGCCGCAAGGUUG
rnacentral:rRNA from 1 species